rnacentral:lncRNA from 1 species
UCACGUCCAUGCAUCUUGAUGUCGAGAUGAUCAAUUUGAAUAUAUUUGAGCAUCAAAACAACCUCUUCUAGUAAAAGUUUUGAGGUAGGUUCAAAUUUGAGCUUCGGCUCUAUAUAAAUUUUUCCCGACAAUAAAUGAUGUAAUAACAUAUAUACCAAAUAAAAUUCAUUUUCUAAGAACUAAACAUGCAAACGAUAAAACGUAAAAGGUCAAAUAAAAUAAAACAAUAAAAGAUGUUUAAACCUAUCUGGUAACCGACAAAUUCCUCAUUAACUUAAACCUACACGACACAAAUCUCAAAAAAAAAAACCCCUAAAUUGUAAAUAUUGUAUGGCAAUUAAAAAAAAAAAGAAGAGAAAAUUUGAGGUUGUCUUUUGUUGGAGACAUUGGACAGCUCCAUAAAUUUUAAAA